AUGUUGAAAAGGUAUGAGCUCCCAGAUAGUUUUGAGGGAAGAAAGGAAUGGAUAAAACUAGGGACGCAGUUCCGCAGGCAAGUUGAGCCCUUGGAUAUUGCAAACUAUUACAGGCAUUUGAAGAAUGAAGAUACAGGACCUUACAUGAUCAGGGCUAGGCCGAAGCGUUAUAGGUUCACACAACGAUGGUUAGAGCAUGAAGAGAUGGUGGAAACCAAACUAUUACAGGCAUUUGAAGAAUGAAGAUACAGGACCUUACAUGAUCAGGGCUAGGCCGAAGCGUUAUAGGUUCACACAACGAUGGUUAGAGCAUGAAGAGAGGGUGCAAACAGGUGAACGCUCUGAGUCUUGUUUUUGGGCAGAAGUGGAGGAACUAAGAAACAAGCCAAUUAUGGAAGUGCAAAACAGGAUUUUGAGUUUAGAAACAAAGGCAUGGGAUUGGUCCCAGAGUGGCCUUCUGGGCGAUGAUGUUUUCUUCCCUGAGUCUACCUUUACCAAAUGGUGGAAACAACUCCCUACUCAGCACAGAAUGACAUCUUGGAUAUCAGGGAAAGUAAAUUCUUAGCGUCUUUUACAGCUCCAUAUUACGCCAGCGCCAGCGCCCUAAUGUUUUGAUAAUGAUUUGUCCUAGCCAGCUUGCGGGUACUCCUAGUCCAAUGCUAUACUAAGAGAAGCCAGAUGGUUCAUAAGUGAAAAACGUCUGGAUAGGCUGAAAGCACUACAUUACUUCAAUAAGACCAACUGUAUGGUAUCUUAGCUCAGAUAAUUGAAAAUGCCUCAAUAUUCCUAGGAACUGCUUUGCUUGUAUGGUAGAAUAGUAGCAAGCAUACCAACAUUCAAGUAUUUAAGGUGGAAUACUACAUGCUCACGUUUUCUCCAAGUAAGAACGUUUUAAGAACCUGAAUUCCUUAAAUUAACCACGCUGACAAAACUUGGAUUACACAACUUUUUUAAUAGGAAGAAAUAUGAACAACAUAAUAGCGGCAGAAGGCCAAGGUCUAGAUGUCAAAUAUUAAAUAUGAUUGUUAAUCCUUCUAGCAGAAAAAGGAUUCCACAACCAUCACAUCAUCAGAGGGGAAAGUAGCAUGUUUGCUACGAGUUCAACCAAAACCAGCAUUUUCAAUAUAUCUAUGUACAAAUUUCUAAAAUUUAAUCUUGAACUGCCUCUGUACAUCAUAAUUGCUUGGAAGGAAGGUCUCAGUUGCCUUCUGCAUGUAUGAGAUUCUUUUUCCUCUAUCUGUCACACUGACAGCCAAUUCCAUACACGAAUUUGGAAAACAUAACCUCAUGAAACUCCUGAACGUCACAAUAAUGUGUAAAUCACACAGAACCAAACUUGUGUGGGUGUGGGUCCUGUCCACCAACAACCUUAUCACACAUGGAAAACAUGCAAAGAUCUCAUUUAUUUAUCCCUGGACAAAAGCCUCUAACAGAAUAGAGGAACUUCAAUAAUAGCAAGGAGAUGAUCAACCAUAGUCCAAAGUCUUCUUCUCCAUGGAAAACCAAUCGACUUGUACAAGGGAAAAAGGAGCAAAACCACAUAAUUAAUGCUACUUCUUUACAAACAAUUGGCAGACUAACAUAAUCUUGUUAACAUCCAGUAAGCAGACAGCAGAAAUAAAGCUUAGAAAAAGUUUGAGAUACUCGAUAGAAGCUUUACAUAUAAAUGUCAGCCUUCAACAAAACUGACCAUAUUGAAGGACUUGAUAUUAACCUUUACCAGCUUGAGAGGGGAGGGAAGCAAAGCAAGGUGUAGGACAUUUUUUGACAUACUUCUAAAUGACAGCCCCCACCACCCUAGAAUGAUCCCAUUUUACAGGUUAAGGAAACUACUGACUGGCAAUAUAAUCCAAAUGUCCAGAAAGCACACAAGUAAGGCACACUUCGAAUAUAGAACUGUCAGGAAUGCAACGAUGACAAAAAUAACAACGUCAAACAUACAGAUGUUAGUCGCAUGAGAAUCUAAAUAUCAAUUCACUUCCUUCGUAAGGUAGAGCUUUAAUACAUAGCUUGUCUCAAAAAAUUUAUCAAUACUUAUCUGCUGCACUACAAGCCCAUAAUGUGGCAGGGAUGCAUUUUGUGGUUCAAUCCCAAAGUGAACUGAAGAUAUAAGUGAAAGCAACAGACCAGUUUACAAAUAUAGGUUGCUCAUUCACUCAGAUUCAUCACAAGCAGUCAAGAUGAAGAGCAGCAAAAACAUUAAAAUAGAGAAGAUAUUCAUGCAAAAGUUUGAUGUCCAAUUCUUCACUCAUUUUUAUUCACGGUAAUCUAGAAGGUGACAAAGUGCUCAACGAGAGAAGGACCUUUAUAUCAUCAAAUUCAAUCUACCUAACUUUUAUCCAGCUUCUUUAUUCACAAAACAAGUAUUCUACAUCAGCACAAGCACCAUAUUAUAAUGAGCAAAAUUAUAGGAGAACCAUAACAGUUCCACCGUGCUUUCAGAAUCUUGGUCCUAUAUCGACAUCUAAUGCUAAGAAAAAUCUGAGUCUAACAAAGUCAAGCCACACGGAGAAAGAGGACACCACAUACACAUUCAUAGAAAAUCCUAUGACCUUGAUAUCAUGCUACAAGAACGAGACGGUCGAAAUGUCAGACUUCCUGCAUCUUCGGUUGUCUCUACCUCAAGUGGGUCAUGUUUAUACUGCUUCCUGCAACCUGGACACCGCCCAUCCUCCUCAAGAAUCCUCUUGUGACAAAAGAGACAAAGCCUAAACCCACAAGGACAAGGGAGAAAGCUUGUGUCAGUAAAAUCCAAAUCCUCACAGCAUAUAGGACAUGAUGUGGGUAUCGAUAAACUUUUACAUCCCCAUACAGAGCCUCCCCGGUAAUGCCCCCCCAAAUUCAUAUGGAAAGCAAGGACAAGGGAGAAAGCUUGUGUCUGUAAAAUCCAAAUCCUCGCAGCAUAUAGGACAUGAUGUGGGUAUCGAUAAACUUUUACAUCCCCAUACAGAGGCUCCCCGGUAACGACGCCCCAAAUUCAUAGGGAAAGUAUACUGUUUCGAUAAAUUCGGAAGACUUUGUGGACGGAAUGUAUCAUAAGGCCUCCAUGCUCGAAAGCUGACAGGAGAUCUAGGUUCCCUGGACUUCUGCUUUGAUGAUAUAUCCAGCCCCGAUUUAUGCCGAUCAGGAUCUUCUGGAGAACUCACAUGCACCACAUUAUCAUCCCUCUCUGGAGCUGAAUCCAAGCUAGAGCUAAGCUGCUCUUGCUUCUCAUUAGUGGCAGCUAAAGCUACAGCUUCCCAAUCAUCCAAGCAGCCAUCGUCCCCUUCAUUAUCUUCCUCACUCAUACUUCCUGAACAACACCCACCACUGCUACUAAUGCUACUGCCACCUGUGAAAUUGGUCCCGGAAUCAUUCCCUUCCAACAAGCUACUAGUGUCGCUGGUAGGGCUAUUAGAAGAUGAGUCAAAAUCACUAUAGUUAUUUGUGCAACCUCCAUUCUCUUCUUCUUCUUCUUCUCCUCUGGGCUUUAUCACCAACUUCUCCAUCAAUCGUCCCCUCUCAUUAGCAACGUGCAUCCCCUGGACAGGAGCCCCUACCCCACCAUUCAAUUCCUCAUUGGAGCCUUUAUUCUUCACUACACAAGCCCAAUUACCUUGAAUUAAGGCACAUACAAACAGGAAAACUACAUAAUUAGUACUCCUUCCAUCCCAAUUUAUGUGACCAUAUUUGACUAAUCAUGGAGUUUAAAAAUGAAUGAAAGAAACCAUUGAAACAUGAGGUCUAAAAUAAGCCAUAGACAUUUGUCUGGCUACAGAUUAUCUCAUUAAGGGCAACAAUGGAAGUUUAAAGCUAAAUAUUUUCUAAUAUAAAAAUAUAUCAUAAUAUUUGGGACAGACUAAAAAGGAAAGAAUGUCACAUAAAUUUGGACAAAUGUACCAAUCUUGAGAUUGAUCAAAUAUUCACCAAAAGCACAGACGUAUUCAAAGAUGGCAACUUUAAUGGAUGUGAAAUACCUCUGUACCCAAAAAAAUUAUUUACAAUUGAUCUGAGUACUUUUAAUAUACAUACAUAUAUAUAUAUAUAUAUAUAAAAGAAAUGCAGGAAAGCUUAGAGAUGCAGGAUGUGGUUCAUCUCAAUAAUCUUACCGAUAUUCCCUUGUCUUCAAAUGCCAUUGCAUUAGCUAGUGAUGAAGUGGUAACGAUGAAUUUAGCCCUGAAUGACUUAGGCCUGGUAAGUGAUAAAUGUGUUUGCUCUUUGUGCUGAUUUUCACAUUUAGCUCAAAGUAACGGGUUUCUUUUUCACGUUACAGAGUACAAGAGCACGGUUGUGUCUUCGUGCAGCAGGACAAUGGGAGAAGCAGAAAAGGAAGAACGAGGAAAAGAUUGAUGGUAAUAAGAACAGCAUCAUGGAAGGAUUAAGCAAGAUACAGGAGUACCAGACCACGUGUGAUAUUCAGAAAGUCGGGUAUUAUGAUGCGUUCAAGCUUCAAGAGACCAUCGAUGACUUCAAUGCUAAUGUGAAAAGGCUGGAGCUAGCAGGAAUAUGGGACGAAAUCAUUGAAAUGUUGAAAAGGUAUGAGCUCCCAGAUAGUUUUGAGGGAAGAAAGGAAUGGAUAAAACUAGGGACGCAGUUCCGCAGGCAAGUUGAGCCCUUGGAUAUUGCAAAUUAUUACAGGCAUUUGAAGAAUGAAGAUACAGGACCUUACAUGAUCAGGGCUAGGCCGAAGCGUUAUAGGUUCGACCGGUUCGCCUGAAGAAAAUAAAACUCAAUCACAUUGGAAAGAAAAAAGCUUAAAUAUAAUUAAUUAAAAUGUAAAAGGAAACAGAAAUUUGAAGGAGAGAAAAAAGAACAAAUUAAACAAAUUGUUACCCUUUUUUUCUUGGCGAAAUCUUUGGGGUUAGAGGAAUGCAUAGGGAUUGAAGCAUUGGCGAUUGAAUCGGAACCCAUUAUGGUUGCUGAGUCGACUCGGUAACCAAAUUUGGCAGAAACCCUAAAUUGAUCAGACGAAUAUCUCAAAGAAUUUAGAAAUUAGAAGGAUAGGUGGAGUGUUAUAUAUAUAUAGAGAGAGAAGAUAACGGAAAUUUGCUUAAUGCAACGCUGCGGCUGUUUUAUACAUAAGUGGUGUACCGGUUUUGCCCUUGAUUUUUAC
rnacentral:lncRNA from 1 species